UAUGAUUUAAUUCGGGAUCGGAAAUAGGUUUUACACUAUGUAAAUAUAUCAUGUAUAUAUGAUGUAAUUCGGUAUUGGAAAUAGGUUUACACCAUGUAAAUAUGAUUUGAUUUGGUAUCAGAAAUAGGUUUACACUAUGUAAAUCUAUCAUAUAUACAUAUGAUUUAAGUCAGUAUCUGAAAUAGGUUUACACUAUGUAAAUAUGAUUUGAUUCGGUAUCGGAAAUAGGUUUACACUAUGUAAAUAUAUCACGUAAAUAUGAUUUGAUUUGGGAUCGGAAAUAGGUUUACACCAUGUAAAUAUGAUUUGAUUUGGGAUCGGAAAUAGGUUCACACCAUGUAAAUAUGAUUUGAUUCAGGAUCGGAAAUAGGUUUACACUAUGUAAAUAUAUCACGUAAAUAUGAUUUAAUUCAGUAUUGGAAAUAGGUUUACACCAUGUAAAUAUGAUUUGAUUUGGUAUCAGAAAUAGGUUUACACUAUGUAAAUAUAUCAUGUAAAUAUGAUUUAAUUUGGGAUCGGAAAUAGGUUUACACCAUGUAAAUAUGAUUUGAUUCGGGAUCGGAAAUAGGUUUACACUAUGUAAAUAUAUCACGUAAAUAUGAUUUAAUUCAGGAUCGGAAAUAGGUUUACACCAUGUAAAUAUGAUUUGAUUUGGUAUCAGAAAUAGGUUUACACUAUGUAAAUAUAUCACGUAAAUAUGAUUUAAAUCGGGAUUGGAAAUAGGUUUACACUAUGUAAAUAUAUCACAUAAAUAGGAUUUAAUUCAGGAUCGGAAAUAGGUUUACACUAUGUAAAUAUGAUUUGAUUCAGUAUCAGAAAUAGGUUUACACUAUGUAAAUAUAUCACGUAAAUAUGAUUUAAUUCGGGAUCGGAAAUAGGUUUACACCAUGUAAAUAUGAUUUGAUUCGGGAUCGGAAAUAGGUUUACACUAUGUAAAUAUAUCACAUAAAUAUGAUUUAAUUCAGGAUCGGAAAUAGGUUUACACCAUGUAAAUAUGAUUUAAUUCAGGAUCGGAAAUAGGUUUACACUAUGUAAAUAUAUCACAUAAAUAGGAUUUAAUUCGGGAUCGGAAAUAGGUUUACACUAUGUAAAUAUGAUUUGAUUUGGUAUCAGAAAUAGGUUUACACUAUGUAAAUCUAUCGUAUAUACAUAUGAUUUAAGUCAGUAUCGGAAAUAGGUUUACACCAUGUAAAUAUGAUUUGAUUCGGGAUCGGAAAUAGGUUUACACCAUGUAAAUAUGAUUUAAUUCAGGAUCAGAAAUAGGUUUACACUAUGUAAAUAUAUCACGUAAAUAUGAUUUAAUUCAGGAUCGGAAAUAGGUUUACACUAUGUAAAUAUAUCACAUAAAUAUGAUUUAAUUUGGGAUCGGAAACAGGUUUACACUAUGUAAAUAUAUCACGUAAAUAUGAUUUAAUUCAGGAUCGGAAACAGGUUUACACUAUGUAAAUAUAUCACGUAAAUAUGAUUUAAUUCAGGAUCGGAAACAGGUUUACACUAUGUAAAUAUAUCACGUAAAUAUGAUUUAAUUCAGGAUUGGAAAUAGGUUUACACUAUGUAAAUAUAUCACAUAAAUAUGAUUUAAUUCGGGAUCAGAAAUAGGUUUACACCAUGUUAAUAUAUCACGUGAAUAGGUUUUAAUCCAGUAUUGGAAAUAGGUUUACACCAUGUAAAUGCGUUUUAAUCUGGUAUCAGAAAUAGGUUUACACUAUGUAAAUAUAUCAUGUAAAUGUGUCUUAAUCCGGUAUCAGAAAUAGGUUUACACCACGUGAACAUGAUUUAAUUCGGGAUCAGAAAUAGGUUUACACCACAUAAAUAUAUAUAACGUAAAUGUGUCUUAAUCCGGUAUCAGAAAUAGGUUUACACCAUGUAAAUAUAUCACAUAAAUAUGAUUUAAUUCGGUAUCAGAAAUAGGUUUACACCAUGUUAAUAUAUCACGUGAAUGGGUUUUAAUCCAGUAUCAGAAAUAGGUUUACACCAUGUUAAUAUAUCAUGUGAAUGGGUUUUAAUCCUGUAUCAGAAAUAGGUUUACACCACGUAAAUAUGAUUUAAUUCGGUAUCAGAAAUAGGUUUAUACUAUGUAAGUAUAUAAUGUAAAUAGGUUUUAAUCCGGUAUCAUAAAUAGGUUUACACCAUGUAAAUAUAUAACAUAAAUAAGUCUUAAUCCAGUAUCAGAAAUAGGUUUACUGCACGUAAAUAUGAUUUAAUCCUGUAUCAGAAAUAGGUUUACACUAUGUAAAUAUAUCAUGUAAAUAGGUUUUAAUCCGGUAUCAGAAAUAGGUUUACACCAUGUUAAUGUAGCACAUAAAUAUGUUUUAAUCCGGUAUCAGAAAACAGGUUUACACCACAUAAAUAUAUCACGUAAACGUGUUUUAAUCCGGUAUUGGAAAUAGGUUUACACCACAUAAAUGUGUCUUAAUCCAGUAUCAGAAAUAGGUUUACACUACGUAAAUAUAUCAUGUAAAUGUGUCUUAAUCCGGUAUCAGAAAUAGGUUUACACCACGUAAAUGUGUUUUAAUCCGGUAUCAGAAACAGGUUAAUCACCCCUUGUUCAACAUCAAAUAUUUAGCUACAUAACGAACCAUCCGCGCCCUCUGCAGCCUAAACCUUAAGCCCAGUCCUAACUUCUACACUUAAUUAGUCUUCCACUCAUCACAAUAAAUGGCGAUAACUUCAAAA